GGUACUUCGGUCAGUGUUUGGCCCAGAAUGAAAAACACACCCCUUAUAAUCCGCGGAGGAUGUAAUCCACGGCAUUAAUAACUGGUGUCAUGUCUGGAUUAGAUGUUCGAGUGCUACAAUAUACACCUUGUUCUUAACAAGUGCCACGAAGACUCAGUGUCAUCAUCUUGGGGUCUUCUUACUGCCACACAGCCCCAUGAGUUUGAAAAUAACUCGGAUGAACAGAUUAGAAAACCAAGGUGCAGACCGAUGGGAGCACUUGAAAUCACACAUCUAGACAAGUAAGCCACUGGGGUUCAAUCUUAAAGUGUUCUGACUCUAAAGCAUACACUUUUUUUUUUAAAUGUUUAUCCCUUUUUGAAGAGAGAGCACAAGCGGGGGAAGGUCAGAAUCCGAAGCAGGCUCCAGGCUCUGAGCUGUCAGCAUAGAGCACAAUGUGGGGCUCGAGCUCACGAACCACAAGAUCAUGACCUGAG